AAACUCAUGAGCAAUUACAGGAGGGAGGAUGUUCAGUAGGAAGCCUGUUGUUGUCAUGUUGCAAGAACCCUAUGAAACAGGAAAUUACAUCACAAAGAGGCCUGCCUGUCAAGCACUUGGAUGCACAUUUGUCUUGUUUUAUUUGGAUCUGAUUG